UUUUUUUUUUUUUUUUUUUUUUUUUUGGAAAAUGAUUCUUAACAUUAAUAAAUUUAAGAACAUCCAAAACCUGGCCAUUGAGGAUUCAGAAUCAUGCAUUGCCAGAAAUAACUUUUGCCUAAAUUGGACCUUCUACAUAUGCAAUGAGACCUGAUUCUGUAUUAUUUCAUGUACUGCUAAGCCUGUGUUUCUGUCAGUGAAUAAUUAUUUUGAGUUAUUAGAAGGAAAAUGAAGCAUAACAUUUGCAUGAUUUCCCCCAUACUACAGAAAUAAGUCAACAAUUAAAGGGGAGAAAAAAUCAGCACACAAAAUCUUGUGCUCUGAAAACAAAGGAACAAUCUUGUUCCCCUUCCUCCUCAUCUUCCCAAGUCUUACUGACCCAAUUAUAAAUUUUCCAAUAGUACUAUAUGUAACCCAAAAGGCAAAGGCCCUGGCUAAACUUUUAGUCCUUUCAGAGCAUCUAUGACUGGGAUGAUAGCCUCCAUUCUUAAAUGACCAAACUCAAAAUGGGGAAAUGAAGAGUGGGGAAUCUGGUUACUUCAGGUUUGGACUUAAAUUGCUCUUGAGAGAAUUUUUCUUUUGCCACACUUUUCUCACCCCAAAGAGUUAUCUUUAUGGCAGUUUAAAGUGGGGGCUCACUUAAUGAGCUCAUCAUUCCAUCUUCCUUCAAUAAAUAUUUAUUACAGGCCAAAAUGGUCAGCCCCUUGAUGGAAGACAAAGUCCCUGCACUCAUGGAGCAAACAAAUUCUGUAAAUGGGAAGAACUAAUAAGCACAUAAAUGAUUUAAGUUCAGAAAUAACUGAACAUGAAAAUACAUAGAAAUAAGUGAUAUAAAGAAAAUUAACUGUUUGAAGUAAAGGGGAAUGAUUUGUUCACUACUCUGAAUGCAGUGGUCAAGGGAGAACUCCCUAAGGAGUCAAGUGUUUAAACUGAACAAAAGAAGGAGCCAGGGGAAAAGCAUCCCAUUCAAACCUUCCUCCUUUCAACAUACACUGAGCAAGAGUCCCCAUCAUCUGAAUAAUAUCAAGGUACAAACAACAGCAACAAAAACCACAUGAAUUGUGUUUGAGAUGAAAAAGAAAUAAUGGAGUGUUUAGAAAACAGUUCUCAAAAGCAUGGUUUACUGGAAUGUAGAUGACUCUUUUUUCACUUUGAGCUUUCUUGAAAACGUGUAGAUUUUAGUUAUUCUUUCUGAUUCUCAUUUUUCAAAAGCAGUUGUUAAACAACCAUCUUCAAAUACUCAAGUUAGAGAGUGACUUUGUUCCCUUCAAUUUGGGAGUUAGGAAACCUGUGACCAUUUUGUCCUUGAUCACAGUGAUUCUCAAGUAAGGCAACAGCUCUCUCACAUGGGAAACUUGUUAAAAUAUGAAUACCUCAUCUGAACCUUUAGUGAUCCCAAUAAAAACUACAUCCUAAAAUUGUUCUGACUUUACCUCCAACUGAAAGAGCAAAAGGCUGGGCUAGCAGAGAGCUUGGGUUGUUGCUCUCUGUGGGUAGGGAUAGGAGUUGAGUUACACAACGGGAGAGCUGGUUCUCCAGUAACACUGGACACGGGGCUAAGUUCUCGAAGAUCCACUACACUAGUGGUUUUCUUAAGGGGUUGGAAGGCUGGGCUCCUCAGAUAUUAUUCAGAGGC
rnacentral:lncRNA from 1 species